rnacentral:rRNA from 1 species
AUUGAACGCUGGCGGCAUGCUUUACACAUGCAAGUCGAACGGUAACAGGGAGCUUGCUCCGCUGACGAGUGGCGAACGGGUGAGUAAUGCAUCGGAACGUACCCAGUCGUGGGGGAUAACGUAGCGAAAGUUACGCUAAUACCGCAUACGUCCUGAGGGAGAAAGCGGGGGACCGUAAGGCCUCGCGCGAUUGGAGCGGCCGAUGUCGGAUUAGCUAGUUGGUAGGGUAAAGGCCUACCAAGGCGACGAUCCGUAGCGGGUCUGAGAGGAUGAUCCGCCACACUGGGACUGAGACACGGCCCAGACUCCUACGGGAGGCAGCAGUGGGGAAUUUUGGACAAUGGGCGAAAGCCUGAUCCAGCCAUGCCGCGUGAGUGAAGAAGGCCUUCGGUUGUAAGACUCUUCUAGCCGGAAACGAAAAUACGCGCGAGGAUAAUACUACUGCGUGGAUGACGGUACCGGAA